rnacentral:rRNA from 1 species
AUGGAUGCCAUGAAAAACCGUGCCAGAGCUUUUGCAGAGGGCAUCGUGGUAAUGGUAUGCCCGGUCCUCCUUGCCAUAACAUUUCAGAAGGUUGACUUCAAGACCAAGGCACACAGAUUCGUUUGGGGCAUAUGCCCAAUCGCAGCAAUCACACUGGAGUCAUGUCUAUUCCCGUUCCUGUUUCUCUUGGCAUCAAAGAACCUGGACUUGGUCGUUCUGUUCCCAAGACUUUCAAGGUGGCUAUUUGGUACCUCAAAGCUUCUGAUCCAUCUCUGUGCACUGCUCCAGAUGUUCCUCGCCUUCGGCUUUCUAUUUCUAAUCAACAGGAAGAAUCUGUGGUAUCUCAUAUACUUGAUUCCAUUCAUGGCUCUCACCGUGUGGCGAUGCUACUGGACAGUGCAAAACGAUGCGAUUACCGAUGGCACUCUGUACCAAGAGUGUGAGGGUGUACUCGAAAGAUCCUUGGACUUCUCGUCUGUUGUCACCGCUAUCCUGUUCCUGGGUUUGGAAGGCUUGGCUUUGGAGGGGCAUAGCAACGGCGCCAAGGGACUGGAGCACCUGCUUGCUGCCGCACUUGGUUCUAGCUUUAUGACAUGCGUCGGCGGCGUCUUCAUCAUGCUCCUGGGGACAGUCCCUAUUCUGAUUGCUGACAGUGGUUAUGAGAGGUACUGGCUGCGCCGCUUCGUUGAGAAACUGAACGUCUUGCUGGGUAUGGGCAUUGUUCUGACCGUAUCGUUGAUCACAGUCGCAGCUCUGAACUGGCUGGCGUUGCUUGCGUUCAUACCACUGCUGGUUUCAGUCAUGGCGGGUGUAUUUGUGAUUCUGAACGACGAUGGCUCCGGCUACCUGCCGCUUUUUGUACUGGAACAGGUUAAACCAGCGUCCAUGGAGCUGACCAAGGUCACAUUUACGGGCUUCUUGGCUGUCUCGGUGCAAAGCUUUGGUAGCAAGUCUCUCAGCAGCUACAGCCACGCGUUCAUUCUCCUCACCGCCGCAGCUGUCAUCACCGGCAUCUUCUGGAGGCUCUUGACUCACAUCACGCCAUCAACGAUUGGCAUGCAUAAGGCCGUGAAGAGGACUGUCAAUGUUGCUUCUGUUGGUGCCCAUGUCUGCAUCGCCGCCGCUGUUAUCCCCUUCACCGUGAUGGCCUUCCAUGCACUGAAGUAA